CUUUACUAUGAAACUGUGUUUGCAUGCAACUCUCUUGAUUUGAAUAUUAUCUCUCAAUUUGUGUGGUAUACAAAUUGCUUUCCUAAAAAUCCUUUUUGCAUUUCCAACUUCUCUCUGCGUUUCACAUGGCUUCUUCUUCUUCUUCUUCUUCUUCUUCUUCUUCUCCAAUGAUCACCAAUUGUGCACACGAAGUAUUCCUCAGCUUCAGAGGACACGACGUCCGCCGCAAGUUCCGUUCCCACUUUCUCAAGGAGCUCGACCGCAAGGUAAUCACCUUCAAGGACGAUGAGAUGGAAAGAGGCCACUCUAUUGCGCCUGAGCUUAUCAAGGCCAUACAAGGAUCCAGGAUCUCAGUUGUAGCGUUUUCCGAAAACUUUGCAAAUUCGAGCUGGUGUUUGGAUGAGUUAGCCGAGAUCAUGAGGUGCAGAGAGGAACGAGGCCAAAUCGUGAUACCCAUUUUCUACGAAGUGGAUCCUUGUCAUGUCAGGUAUCAAACCCACGCCUUCGGAGAGAUCUUUGAAAAGACUUGCGAAGGCAUAGAGGAGGAAAAGAAACAUAUGUGGCGACAGGCUUUGACCCACGCAGCCAACAUAGCUGGAGAGGAUUCUCGAAACUGGCCUGACGAAGCAAAAUUGGUCGAGAAAGUUGUCAAUGAUGUUUCAAGAAAACUGAAUUCAACAGCAUCCAAUGAUUUUGAGGACAUGGUGGGAAUCAAAAGUCACAUGAAAAACAUGAAUUCAUUGUUGAAUUUGGAGUCAGAGGAGGUGCUCAUGGUAGGGGUUUGGGGUCUAUGUGGAGUUGGCAAGACUACCAUUGGACGAGCUCUCUUUAGUCAACUCUCCUGUCAGUUCCAAGGCAGCAUGUUCAUUGAUAAAACUAAGAAGAAUCUUACAAGGGCUAAAUCAGAUGACUACAACACACAGUUGUACUUGCAAACACAGUUUCUGGCUGAGGUUCUGGACCAGAAGGACAUAAAGAUACAGUGUUUACGUGCCCUGGAAGAAAGGUUAGGGCAUAAGAGAGUUCUUGUUGUUUUUGAUGAUAUGGAUGAUCAUGUCCUCUUAAAUGCCUUGGUGGGGAAAACUACAUGGUUUGGUCCUAGAAGUAGAAUUGUUGUAAUUUCAGAAGAUAGGGAGUUUCUAAGGGCCCGUGGAAUUGGAUCUGAUCGUAUUUAUGAGGUGGCUUUACCGUCGGGAGAGCUAGCGUUGCAGAUGUUCUGCCGAUGUGCAUUCCAUCAAGACUCUCCACCUGAUGGUUUUAUGGAACUUGCUACUGAAGCUGUAAAGCUCACCGGGAACCUUCCACUGUCUCUCAAUGUCUUGGGUUCAUCCCUUAAAGGGAUGAAGAAGGAGGAGUGGGCAGAUAGGGUGCCUGAGCUCAGGAUUCGUAUGGCUAAACAGAUUGAUAAAACAUUAAGAGACAGCUAUGAUAGGUUAAAAGAAGAAGACAAGGCAAUAUUUCGUCACAUCGCUUGUUUAUUUAAUCAUAAGCCACGUGACUACGUGAUACGAUUGCUUGAAGAUAGUAAGUUGGAUGUUGACGUUGGACUGGUUACUCUAGCUGAAAGGUGUCUCAUACAGAUAUCAGGGGAUAAUAUCAUUAGGAUGCACGAGUUCCUGCAAGAGAUGGGUAGAGAAAUCGUACGUCAACCAUGUAUUCAUGAGCCUGGAAAACGUGAAUUCUUAAUGGAGUGUCAGGAGAUUUGUGAUAUACUUGCAAAAGGAACUGGAACUAAAAAUGUUUUAGGCAUAUCUUUGAACUUAUCUGAAAUGAAAAAUAAGUUAUGUUUUGGAGAGGAAGUAUUCAGAGGAAUGACAAACCUUCGGUUUCUAAGAAUCUACGGCAUCUCACAAGAGGAUAAAGAAAUUAGCUUGGAAUUUCGUCACCUCAACCUUAGUACGUUCAAAUGGUGGGAUGGCUCACUUAAGCCUUUAAAGGAAGGCAAAUACUAUAUGGGGCGCCAACUUAGAUUACUUGAAUGGUGGGAUUACCCAAUGGAGCGCUUGCCUUCUUACAUUUGUGCAGAAAACCUUGUUGAACUCAUAAUGCCCGAUAGCCUCCUUAUGAUGUUGUGGCCUGGGGUUCAGCUGCUUAAUAACCUCAAGAAGAUAGAUUUGCGGAGAUCUAAAAGGCUAUUUGAACUUCCAAAUCUUUCAACGGCCACCAAUCUCGAGGAACUAAAUCUUGAAGAUUGCUGGAGUCUGAACAAGAUGCAAAAAACUGUUACUUCUUCCUCUAUUCGUUAUCUCAAGAAACUAAGGAAGCUAGACAUGAAAAGAUGCAAAGAACUGUUGCUUCUUCCAACCGAUAUUGACUUGGAGUCUCUCCAUUCCCUCAAUCUCAGUGGAUGCUCCAAGUUAGAGAGUUUUCCUCACAUUUCAAGGAAUAUUUCAAUUCUUGUUCUUGAUGAAACCAAGAUUGAACAAGUUCCUGGAAGGAUAGAAGAUAUCUCUGGGCUCAAUUACUUAUUGAUGACCGGUUUCAGCAACUUAAAAUAUAUUUCUUCUAACAUUUCGAAACUGAAACAUUUUGAGGUGAUGUUGUUUACAGUGGACACGAGGACAGACGAUAGUGGCAUCGUUGACAAUAGGAAAAACGAUGUCUUCCUAAGCUUCCACAGGGAAGAUGUUCGCAAAGCUUUUGUGAGCUACUUGCACAAGGAAUUUAUGAGAGACCAGAACUUAGCUACUAAUGUUGUAAACGAGAUAAGAUCUUCAAGAAUCGCAAUAGUCAUUCUUGCAGAUAACUACUUGUCUUCGGAACGGUGCUUGGAUGAGUUGGUGGAGAUCAUAGAGUGCAGCGAAGAGACUGGUCAAAAAGUGAUCCCCGUUUAUUAUGAUGUGGAUACUGUUAAUAUCACAAGGCAGAUCCAAGACAUUGUAAAGACCGAAUCGUACCCACAGAAACUGAGACAAGCUCUUACUACAGUAGCCGAACUUCAGGGAUAUAAAUUCUCAACCUGGGAUCCCGAAACUGCAGUGAGACAAAUCCGGGCUGAUGAUAUAUCUUUUGCACCAAAAGAGUUAUUUGAUAUGGAAACUCUAAAAGAGCAAUUCAAUGGUCUAGAGUGGAAGGAGAAGGUGUUGUUUUGUCAUAUUGCUUGCUUUUUCAAUAAUGAGACAUAUGAGAAUGUGACGCAAUUGCUGAAAGACUGUGGGUCUGAUGUUGGAGGUAGUCUUGAGAUUCUGUAUGAAAAGUCUCUGAUACAGAUAUCAGUAGAGACAGUCAUAAUUAUGCGUCCUGUGCUGCAAAAGAUAGGCAGAGAUGAAGUCCUUGCAGAAUUCAUUAACGUGCCUGCGAAUCGUCAGUUCUUGAUGGAUACUGAGGGUUGCGACCUACUUAUUGAUCUAACUGAUAAUACUAAAAGAAUGUACGGUAUCUCGUUUAACGUGUCGGAAAUGGAAGAGAGAUUGGCAAGAGAUGAAAGACUGAACGGAAUGAAAAGGUUGAAGUUUAUGAGAAUGUACAAGGACAGUUUGUACGGUAAAGAAGUCAGAGUUCAUUUAGUUAUUGGCCUCCACUCGUUGUGGGAACGCCUUAGUAGUAUUUGAAGGGUAAGAAUAGUCACUCAGCCUAUUUAUAAAGAAUUCAGACCCUCAAAAACAUGAGUUCGAACCAAGGCAGUGUCAUUAUCAGCCUUUUUAACCCGACGUUGGUGGUCGAGUGGCGUGAGACGGCUCGCAAUGAUCCUAAGGGCCGCGAGUUCGAACCUCUCCCUCAAAUAUACCCCAUAGUUGGGCCACCCGGACCCACCCUGCUAUUUCUUGGGGUGGAAAUGACGUGACUGCUGCGAAUUUCGAAGGAUGUUUGCCGGGGACCCUAGGUUAACAAAAAAAAAAAAAGAAUAGUCACUCAGUAGAAUGCUGUCAUCGGCUAAAGUCUUAAUCCACUUAUAGCUAGGCAUUUUGCCAAGGAAAAAAAGGCAAUGCCUAUUUUGACGGGAGGCCUACGUUGCAUGUGUCGUGUCAGUGGUGAACGUAGCAUGUAAGCUAUGGGGGCAUGCGGACCCAGUGAUUUUUUAUAUUUAAAUUUUUGUAUAAGGAAUAUGAUGACCAAUUUUCGUUAUGCACCCAUACUAGCUUACGAUCAAAUGCAUGUUUCUUCAAUUUUUAUUUUCUUACCAUUUAUGCACCCAGUGAAAAUAUACUCUAGAAGAAUUUGUUGAUAAGAACUUUGUACCCAAAGUUUAUGAUCCGUGAAUGAAUAAAAAGAAAGGAAUCGAUU